UACAGAGGAUGCAAGCGUUAUCCGGAAUGAUUGGGCGUAAAGCGUCUGUAGGUGGCUUUUUAAGUCCGCCGUCAAAUCCCAGGGCUCAACUCUGGACAGGCGGUGGAAACUACCAAGCUUGAGUACGGUAGGGGCAGAGGGAAUUUCCGGUGUAGCGGUGAAAUGCGUAGAGAUCGGAAGGAACGUCAAUGGCGAAGGCAGCCACCUGGCAUCAUACUGAGCUGAGGCGCGAGAGCGUGGGGAGCGAACAGG
rnacentral:rRNA from 1 species